rnacentral:rRNA from 1 species
AGAGUUUGAUCCUGGCUCAGAUUGAACGCUGGCGGCAGGCCUAACACAUGCAAGUCGAACGGUAACAUUUCUAGCUUGCUAGAAGAUGACGAGUGGCGGACGGGUGAGUAAUGCUUGGGAACUUGCCUUUGCGAGGGGGAUAACAGUUGGAAACGACUGCUAAUACCGCAUAAUGUCUUCGGACCAAACGGGGCUUCGGCUCCGGCGCAAAGAGAGGCCCAAGUGAGAUUAGCUAGUUGGUAAGGUAACGGCUUACCAAGGCGACGAUCUCUAGCUGUUCUGAGAGGAAGAUCAGCCACACUGGGACUGAGACACGGCCCAGACUCCUACGGGAGGCAGCAGUGGGGAAUAUUGCACAAUGGGGGAAACCCUGAUGCAGCCAUGCCGCGUGUGUGAAGAAGGCCUUCGGGUUGUAAAGCACUUUCAGUUGUGAGGAAAAGUUAGUAGUUAAUACCUGCUAGCCGUGACGUUAACAACAGAAGAAGCACCGGCUAACCCCGUGCCAGCAGCCGCGGUAAUACGGAGGGUGCGAGCGUUAAUCGGAAUUACUGGGCGUAAAGCGCACGCAGGCGGUUUGUUAAGCUAGAUGUGAAAGCCCCGGGCUCAACCUGGGAUGGUCAUUUAGAACUGGCAGACUAGAGUCUUGGAGAGGGGAGUGGAAUUCCAGGUGUAGCGGUGAAAUGCGUAGAUAUCUGGAGGAACAUCAGUGGCGAAAGCGACUCCCUGGCCAAAGACUGACGCUCAUGUGCGAAAGUGUGGGUAGCGAACAGGAUUAGAUACCC